rnacentral:rRNA from 1 species
GAACGCUAGCUACAGGCUUAACACAUGCAAGUCGAGGGGCAGCAUGGUCUUAGCUUGCUAAGGCCGAUGGCGACCGGCGCACGGGUGAGUAACACGUAUCCAACCUGCCGUCUACUCUUGGACAGCCUUCUGAAAGGAAGAUUAAUACAAGAUGGCAUCAUGAGUCCGCAUAUUCACAUGAUUAAAGGUAUUCCGGUAGACGAUGGGGAUGCGUUCCAUUAGAUAGUAGGCGGGGUAACGGCCCACCUAGUCUUCGAUGGAUAGGGGUUCUGAGAGGAAGGUCCCCCACAUUGGAACUGAGACACGGUCCAAACUCCUACGGGAGGCAGCAGUGAGGAAUAUUGGUCAAUGGGCGAGAGCCUGAACCAGCCAAGUAGCGUGAAGGAUGACUGCCCUAUGGGUUGUAAACUUCUUUUAUAAAGGAAUAAAGUCGGGUAUGGAUACCCGUUUGCAUGUACUUUAUGAAUAAGGAUCGGCUAACUCCGUGCCAGCAGCCGCGGUAAUACGGAGGAUCCGAGCGUUAUCCGGAUUUAUUGGGUUUAAAGGGAGCGUAGAUGGAUGUUUAAGUCAGUUGUGAAAGUUUGCGGCUCAACCGUAAAAUUGCAGUUGAUACUGGAUAUCUUGAGUGCAGUUGAGGCAGGCGGAAUUCGUGGUGUAGCGGUGAAAUGCUUAGAUAUCACGAAGAACUCCGAUUGCGAAGGCAGCCUGCUAAGCUGCAACUGACAUUGAGGCUCGAAAGUGUGGGUAUCAAACAGGAUUAGAUACCCUGGUAGUCCACACGGUAAACGAUGAAUACUCGCUGUUUGCGAUAUACUGCAAGCGGCCAAGCGAAAGCGUUAAGUAUUCCACCUGGGGAGUACGCCGGCAACGGUGAAAACUCAAAGGAAUUGACGGGGGCCCGCACAAGCGGAGGAACAUGUGGUUUAAUUCGAUGAUACGCGAGGAACCUUACCCGGGCUUAAAUUGCAGAUGAAUUACGGUGAAAGCCGUAAGCCGCAAGGCAUCUGUGAAGGUGCUGCAUGGUUGUCGUCAGCUCGUGCCGUGAGGUGUCGGCUUAAGUGCCAUAACGAGCGCAACCCUUGUUGUCAGUUACUAACAGGUUCCGCUGAGGACUCUGACAAGACUGCCAUCGUAAGAUGUGAGGAAGGUGGGGAUGACGUCAAAUCAGCACGGCCCUUACGUCCGGGGCUACACACGUGUUACAAUGGGGGGUACAGAGGGCCGCUACCACGCGAGUGGAUGCCAAUCCCCAAAACCUCUCUCAGUUCGGACUGGAGUCUGCAACCCGACUCCACGAAGCUGGAUUCGCUAGUAAUCGCGCAUCAGCCACGGCGCGGUGAAUACGUUCCCGGGCCUUGUACACACCGCCCGUCAAGCCAUGGGAGCCGGGGGUACCUGAAGUGCGUAACCGCGAGGAGCGCCCUAGGGUAAAACUGGUGACUGGGGCU